UAAUACAGGGGGUGCAAACGUUGCUCGGAAUUAUUGGGCGUAAAGCGCGCGUAGGCGGCCACCUAAGUCGGAUGUGAAGGCCCCUGGCCCAACUGGGGCAGUGCACCCGAAACUGAGUGGCUUGAGUACUAAAGAGGGUCGCGGAAUUCCCGGUGUAGAGGUGAAAUUCGUAGAUAUCGGGAGGAACACCGGUGGCGAAGGCGGCGACCUGGGUAGAUACUGACGCUGAGGCGCGAAAGCGUG
rnacentral:rRNA from 1 species